UACGUAGGGGGCAAGCGUUGUCCGGAAUUAUUGGGCGUAAAGAGCGCGUAGGCGGUCCGGUAAGUCGGUUGUGAAAGUCGGGGGCUCAACCCUCGGAUGCCGAUCGAUACUGUCGGGCUAGAGUCCGGAAGAGGCGAGUGGAAUCCUGGUGUAGCGGUGAAAUGCGUAGAUAUUGGGAGGAACACCGGUGGCGAAGGCGGCCAUCUGGCUCGGUACUGACGCUCAGGUUCGAAAGCGUGGGGGAGCAAACAGGG
rnacentral:rRNA from 1 species